rnacentral:rRNA from 1 species
CCUACGGGAGGCAGCAGUGGGGAAUAUUGCACAAUGGGCGCAAGCCUGAUGCAGCCAUGCCGCGUGUGUGAAGAAGGCCUUCGGGUUGUAAAGCACUUUCAGCGGGGAGGAAGGCGGUGAGGUUAAUAACCUCAUCGAUUGACGUUACCCGCAGAAGAAGCACCGGCUAACUCCGUGCCAGCAGCCGCGGUAAUACGGAGGGUGCAAGCGUUGAUCGGAAUUACUGGGCGUAAAGCGCACGCAGGCGGUCUGUCAAGUCGGAUGUGAAAUCCCCGGGCUCAACCUGGGAACUGCAUUCGAAACUGGCAGGCUAGAGUCUUGUAGAGGGGGGUAGAAUUCCAGGUGUAGCGGUGAAAUGCGUAGAGAUCUGGAGGAAUACCGGUGGCGAAGGCGGCCCCCUGGACAAAGACUGACGCUCAGGUGCGAAAGCGUGGGGAGCAAACAGGAUUAGAUACCCGAGUAGUC